rnacentral:ncRNA from 1 species
GUCGUUGCAAUGGUAAUCCUUUUGAGUACGAGAGGUAAUGCAGGGUCAGACAUUCGGUACAUUUGCCUGAUCGAGCGGCCAAUGGUGCGAAGCCAACAUCAGAGGGAUUAAGACUGAACGCCUCUAAGUCUGAAUCCCGUCCAGAGAUUCGCAACAAUAAAGUUUGGCCUGCUAUGUGGCCAGUACCUUAGUGUACCUUAGUGUACCUUAGUGUACCAUCAUAUAACAGAUCACUGGAUUAAGGGUAAUGGUGUUGUGCUACAUUUGAGUGCUUUCGCAUAUAGUUAUAUAGUUAUGGGCAGAUAUUGUACUUUCCGGUCGGGUUUCAUUCGGAUGGGACGAGCGUGCCGUACCGAACCUGGUCGGUCUGGUAAUGGUAUGCCAGAGCUGUGACCAUAACCACAUGCACCGGGUCAUAGUGUUCUGGGGGUCUACACGAUAUCCAAUUGUAGUAUGAGCGUGGGGGCACAAAAUCGUGUGUAGACAUUUAAUAUUUUGUCAAGGACACGUGAGUAUUCGAGCAGAUAUCACACUGUGAGGUAUUGAGUCCUAUCCCUACCUCAUGUAAUAAUUU